rnacentral:rRNA from 1 species
UACGUAGGUGGCGAGCGUUGUCCGGAUUUACUGGGCGUAAAGGGAGCGUAGGCGGACUUUUAAGUGAGAUGUGAAAUACUCGGGCUCAACUUGAGUGCUGCAUUCCAAACUGGAAGUCUAGAGUGCAGGAGAGGAGAAUGGAAUUCCUAGUGUAGCGGUGAAAUGCGUAGAGAUUAGGAAGAACACCAGUGGCGAAGGCGGUUCUCUGGACUGUAACUGACGCUGAGGCUCGAAAGCGUGGGGAGCAAACAGG